rnacentral:rRNA from 1 species
UACGUAGGGUGCAAGCGUUAAUCGGAAUUAUUGGGCGUAAAGCGUGCGUAGGCGGCUAUGCAAGACAGAUGUGAAAUCCCCGGGCUCAACCUGGGAACUGCAUUUGUGACUGCAUGGCUAGAGUACGGUAGAGGGGGAUGGAAUUCCGCGUGUAGCAGUGAAAUGCGUAGAUAUGCGGAGGAACACCGAUGGCGAAGGCAAUCCCCUGGACCGGUACUGACGCUCAUGCACGAAAGCGUGGGGAGCAAACAGG